rnacentral:rRNA from 1 species
CCUACGGGUGGCAGCAGUGGGGAAUAUUGCGCAAUGGGCGAAAGCCUGACGCAGCGACGCCGCGUGAGGGAUGAAGGUCUUCGGAUCGUAAACCUCUGUCAGCAGGGAAGAACGGUCACUGUGCUAAUCAGCAGUGCAUUGACGGUACCUUCAAAGGAAGCACCGUCUAACUCCGUGCCAGCAGCCGCGGUAAUUCGGGGGGUGCGAGCGUUAAUCGGAAUGACUGGGCGUAAAGCGCUCGUAGGCGGUAUGGCAAGUCAAGGGUGAAAUCCCCGGGCUCAACGUGGGAACUGCCUUGGAAACUGGGAAACUGGAGUGUGGGAGAGGAUAGUGGAAUUCCAGGUGUAGGAGUGAAAUCCGUAGAUAUCUGGAGGAACAUCAGCGGCGAAGGCGACUAUCUGGCACAUAACUGACGCUGAGGAGCGAAAGCGUGGGUAGCAAACAGGAUUAGAUACCCGUGUAGUC